rnacentral:lncRNA from 1 species
CCUGGGGCAAAAAAAGUCCCUGUAAUUGAACACUUUCAUUUUUGCUUGUCCCCAGGCUUGUCGUUAGAAAACUAAGGGACUUUACUUUUGAGUAUCAUGUUUACAAAAGCAAAGUGGUUUUUAAAUUUUAAACUAAGUAAGUAUCAAACAAGUAGAUAAGGCGGAUAGGAGGGAUCUGCAGGAACUGAAGGGAGGUGGAACUUAAGGUUGGAACAUCGGUGUGCUUUUAACAACGGACCGAGCUACUUCCGGGAGAGAAUGGGAGGGUGGAAAAUUCUGUGCGUUUGGCGGGUUUCGCUCUCUUACUAAGUAUUGAUCAUUCCGCAGCAGUGGGGGCUGGACACGUGAGGAGGUAGUGACGCCGCCACUGCCGGAACACGCUGCUGCAGGCUCCCCGAUGGCCAUGUCUGUGGAUUUUAAAACUUAUGUAGAUCAGGCAUGUAGAGCUGCUGAGGAGUUUGUCAAUAUUUACUAUGAGACAAUGGAUAAAAGAAGACGGGUGAGUGUUAUAGACUCUACUACUCUUUUUAGACUACUACUCUUUAUUAAAUACCAGGUCGUGUCUGGAGCCAGCGUUUCAUCUGCCUUGCAUAAGUGGUAACUGUGGACUUACCCUUUAAAAGCAAAUUGCU